UCCCAUGUGACUCAGUUGGUAGAGCAUGGUGCUUGCAAUGCCAAGGUUGUAGGUUCAAGUCCCACAGGGGAC
rnacentral:tRNA from 1 species